AGCCUGGGGAACCUCAGAGGAUCUGGGCCACCAUCCCACCUUCGCUCCGGCCGUUCCCGGCCCUCCAGAUGGGAGGCGCCGACACCGACCUCUUUGCUUUCCCAGCCCGUGGCAGCUGCUGCUGUGCAGCUCGUGUGGCUCCCAGGGGACCCACCGCCACUGCUCCUCGCUGGGGGUCACCAGGGGCCCGUGGGAGUGUGAGGACUGCGCGGAGCCCGCAGGGGCGGCAUCCCGCCAGCUCUCCGCCCCGGGGAGACCAGCAACCAGCCAGGCUGCGUGUGGAACCAGGGGCAGCUCCGGUGCGUCUGCCAGAGGCAGGAGGCCAGGACCCACCGGACUCACCCCGAGAGCCAGACUCUCCCGUCCCCGCAAGUGAAGACCCUUCGCUGCCCCGGUCCCUGGCUCUGCUACCUACAGAAAUGUCCCCACGAGCUCUCCCAGCGUGAGCGACGCCAGCAGGAGUGAGAACGGCAUCGCCUGCUCAGCACCAGUGCUGGGAAGAGCUGUGGACGCCCGGGGUUUCCCUGCCGCUGCUCCUCUC